rnacentral:lncRNA from 1 species
UGUCAUCCUGAAAUAAGAGUUAUUAGUAUUCAGAAUUUAUUCAAAGAAGUUGCCAGCAACAUAAUCAUACCUCUUCCUCUAGAAUGACCACGUUUCUUGUUUUUGGAUUCGGUGGGAGAUCUUUCUCGGCCAAGGUGGCCAUUUUCUCCAAGACAGGAGCAACGGUUAGCCCUGGUACUGCAAGUUCGUUGACCACCAGAUCGU